GCCGGGUGUGGUGGCGCAGACCUGUAAUCCCAGCUACUCGGGAGGCUGAGGCAGGAGAAUCGCUUGAACCCGGGAGGCGGAGGUUGCAGUGAGCCGAGAUAGUGCCACUGCACUCCACCCUGAGCAACAGAGCGAGACUCUGUCUCAA
rnacentral:ncRNA from 3 species